CAGGCUCCCAGGCCCCCAAGCUCCCAGGCCCCCAGGCUCCCAGGUACCAGGCUCCCAGGCCCCCAAGCUCCUAGUCCCCCAGGCUCCCAGGCCCCCAGGCUCCCAAGCUCCCAGGCUUCCAGGUUCCCAAACUCCCAGGCUCCCAGGCCCCCAGCCUAACAAGCUCCCAAGCUCCCAGGCCCCCAGCCUAACAAGCUCCCAAGCUCCCAGGCCCCCAGGCUCCCAGGUACCAGGCUCCCAGGCCCCCAAGGUCCUAGGCCCCCAAGCUCCUAGGCCCCCAGCCUAACAACCUCCCAAGCUCCCAGACCCCCAGCUAACAAGCUCCCAGGCCCCCAAGCUCCCAGGCCCCCAGGCUCCCAGGCCCCCCAGGCUCCCAGGCCCUCAGGCUCCCACACCCCCAGGCUCUCAUGCUCCUAGUAACACAAGCUCCCAACGAAAGCAAAUGGACUUCUCAAUUUUGAAUGUAUAGCGACGUGAAGUUCGACCCUUCAUAGUGGACCGGAAAGAGCAUGGCACUCCCUUAGGGAGCCGGAGAAAGCUGUUUACAUCGAACUAUCCAGUCAUAAGAAGCCAUUAUCCUAAUUCUGUAGGAAUCAAGACAAUUUAAACGUGGAAAUCCACUCUGGAAGCAAAUGGACUUCCCAUUUUCGAAUGUACAGCGAAAGUAGUCAAGCGACUGUAUGCCGUGCAUAAGCAGUCUGGAAAGGAUUUGAACUUGAUGCUAUUUAGCCCAGCACAAGUAAUAUCCAACCUUGACCACGGAUCUGGAGCAACCGCUGACGGAAGAGAAGAAAUGAACACUGAACACAACAUAACACAAAAAUGCAAAAUAUACACGGACAUAAAGUUAAAGAAAUGAAUACGACUUAGCCAGCUUGGCUGCUGGACUGCCAUGCUUGCACAGUCGAACUACCUCGCUCACAUAGACCGCGGUUAGCUGCUUGCAUGAAUAAACAGAAUGGUUCCAC
rnacentral:lncRNA from 1 species